rnacentral:rRNA from 1 species
AUUGAACGCUGGCGGCAGGCCUAACACAUGCAAGUCGAGCGGAUGAAGGGAGCUUGCUCCUGGAUUCAGCGGCGGACGGGUGAGUAAUGCCUAGGAAUCUGCCUGGUUGUGGGGGAUAACGUCCGGAAACGGGCGCUAAUACCGCAUACGUCCUGAGGGAGAAAGUGGGGGAGCUUCGGACCUCACGCUAUCACAUGAGCCUAUGUCGGAUUAGCUAGUUGGUGGGGUAAAGGCCUACCAAGGCGACGAUCCGUAACUGGUCUGAGAGGAUGAUCAGUCACACUGGAACUGAGACACGGUCCAGACUCCUACGGGAGGCAGCAGUGGGGAAUAUUGGACAAUGGGCGAAAGCCUGAUCCAGCCAUGCCGCGUGUGUGAAGAAGGUCUUCGGAUUGUAAAGCACUUUUAGUUGGGAGGAAGGGCAGUAAGUUAAUACCUUGCUGUUUUGACGUUACCAACAGAAUAAGCACCGGCUAACUUCGUG